CAUAAAUGAACUAUACCCGCUCAUAUAAUCGUGGGAUUUGGUCUGCAUGUUUCUACCGGACUAUCGUAAAUGGCUCGACUAUGAGUGAACAACAGUGCGGU
rnacentral:ncRNA from 2 species